rnacentral:rRNA from 1 species
UACAGAGGGUGCGAGCGUUGUCCGGAAUCACUGGGCGUAAAGGGCGCGUAGGCGGCCUGAUAAGUCGGGGGUGAAAUCCUGUGGCUCAACUGCAGGGCUGCCUCCUAGACUGUCGGGCUUGAGCACGGUAGAGGCAGAUGGAAUUCCCGGUGUAGCGGUGGAAUGCGUAGAGAUCGGGAAGAACAUCGGUGGCGAAGGCGGUCUGCUGGGCCGUUGCUGACGCUGAGGCGCGACAGCGUGGGGAGCAAACAGG